UUUAGUUGGUUUGCUUUGGUGCACUGGUCCAGUCCACACUCAUCACUCACACAUCAGUAGGUGGCGGUAAUGCACAUUAUCGGUGUUUGCCAACUGCCAAAACUAAACCAAGAAGAAGAAGUUCAAACAUCUCAACAAGAUUCUCAUGCUGAGCUACUAGAUGUGAUGAGGAUAAAAUGAGAUGGAGGCUGUAAAACUGGGAGGUGCUCCAGUGGAGCGCGGCGGGUCCAACGAUUGUCCUCAUAAAUUGCAUGUGUGUCGGGGUGCAGAGGGGCUAAGUGAGCAGUAAAUAACAAAGGGCCCCGCCGCCUUCUGUUCGCCACUGCCACGUUUCCGGCCAUGCAAGAUUACCCAGGAUGCCCUAGGUGAGGUGUCUUCUUCUUCCUCCGCGUGAUGAAUGGACAAAACGAGGGAGGAAGACGCCUUCACCGCCCGGCGUCUGACAGAGAAAAGAACGUGGCAAGUUUACUUUGCAUCCUGUGAUUUCACUGCAGCUGCGCCGUUCACUCGAAGCACCAACGUCUUUUCAGGGCUUUUUAUGGCCCUUCGACUAUCCAAGGGAGUAGGUGGGAUUUAAUAUAUGUUGGAGGAGGCAGAAUAAGGAGCUGAAACAAGAAGCGCGCUGCCUUUCCUGCCCGACUUUAACGCUUCCCUUGGCUAUAGAGUCAGAAGUCUUGGAAAUAAUACUGGACACUGGUGCUCUCUGGCUGCACCGUGCGACCACUGGGAUMUGAGAAUCCUGUAUGAUGAAAUGGUCACCAGAGACGUGCAAGUAUCAGGAGCGGCGAAAGAAAAACACAAGCCACRCCUCGAGGAAAAGUGUAAAUAUAUCAAGAACUGGAUAAAAACACUCUGGAUGCCACUUCAGUGUUAAUAUUUAUGUAGUUGUACUUUCAGUGUAGUCCAUAUAUUAAAUUUAGGUUGUAGUGUGUGUGUGUGAGGGGGCGGGUGCUGUGGCUCGGUGGUUAGAGCAGUCAGUUUCCACAGAGAGUCGGAGGUUUGAUUCCAUCGGUGCAGUUAAGUCAAACUGAACCCUCGUUUCCUCCAAUUUAGUUUGUGGGAUUUAAAUCACUGAUUAGACUCUGUAAAAUGAUUUAUUCUGAUUAGCUUCAUAUAAAUGUAAUAGUGCUGUAUGSAUGCCUGAGGGCACAGAUCAGGUUGUAAAGUGCUUUAAGUAGCCUGGUUGGCUAUAAGGGACUCAGUCCAUUUACCAUUUAGAUCAAACCUAACAUUUGAACUGUUCUCAGUUGAGUAAAUGUUGUGAAAAAUAAGAAACUCAUGGUUUAUUUCCAAAUAAGAGGUUUAUUUUCAUUGUAUUUCACCGCAUUGCAUCACCAGGUUUCUACAGUAGCCUGGAAUGGACAAAGCAAACAAUGACACUUCUUUACUUUUUUUGUUUUUUUUUACUUUGUAUGCUCAGAAAAGCUGUAGAGCCACGGCUGCAUUUGAGAUGUCAAAAAAAGUUUCCUUCUGAAUUAUUUGUUUGUGAAAGCAUCUCAUUCUUAUUCCGCGAUCCGUUUUAUUCUCUGCAAGAUUAACAAAUCAUGUUGGUUUUAGCUGCGACAAGGCCAAAUUAAAAGCCCAAACCUUUAUUUAUUAACAUUUUUACUUUAAUCACAAUCAUUCAACCACAUUCCUUUUUUACGUUUUAAUUUCUCCAAAAUCAGAUUUAAAAUCAGAGUUUAGUCAGAAAGUCAAACAUGAAAUGGAUUUCUGUGGCAAAUAAAAGCUUUUAUUUAAAUGGCAAUCCGCAACAGUUAUAAACUAAACUCCCUUUCUGCCUCUGGUGCUUUUCUGYUCUCUCUGCAGCAUCUUUAGCUGCUGCCAUCCCCGCUGCAGGACAUCCAUGUUUGCGUGUAGAAAAAUGAAAAAAAGCAGAGGUCACAUAAGAAGCCAGAGUCAGACAGUAAUUAUAACUGCAUGCUUAUAAUCAUUGCUUUGCUGAAAAUAGUCCUCACUUACUAAUUUUGUUCUUUCACCCACUGCUACUCAUCUUCUGACCGCCCUGAUUCGUCUGGUGUCCUCUGCACAUAAACUGUGCUCAUAAUUUAAAUUACAGCAGAUUUGUCAGAAACAUGCUGCCUACUCAUUGAUGCGUCAGUUUUUAUAUUCCAGUGACGUUUUACGUAACAUAAAAUCGCACAUCUUCUGACUGAUUGAUGUUUCGGUUGGAGGAAGUGAAGUAGUUCUUUUAAUUUGACACCUUUAAUGAUAGAAAUAUAUUACUGUUUUGUGUUUUCUUAAAUGAAAGUAGCAUUUAUGAAGAAUAAUUACCCACCACUGAAUGCCAGAGAUUUUGGGGAGAUAUUUUGUGUUUUCCCAUUGUGUAGUUCCGUUCUGGACCAAGGUUAAAAAUGGUUUAGGAUUUUUCAUUGUAGUUUAGUUUUAUUUCGUUGACUUUUUUAUUGUUAUUCAGUCAGUUUUAAC